rnacentral:lncRNA from 1 species
GGGAAAUUAUUUUCCAAACACAUGAAUCCGGUAGCAGUACAGGGGUGGGCAAAUAAACCGAGGACUAAAAACCAACACCGAAGCCGAAUAGACGAAAGACCAAAAAUUCGGUGUUCUGUAUGAUCCUGAGGUCGGUGAUGUGUGAGAACUUGAAAUUUAUUUGGUGAUGUCGGUUUCAAGACAGGUUGGUCUUUUUUUAGGGGAAACCUGAACUUGCAUGAUAAUAUAUGAUACAACAGUAGUGUCAUUCGGCUGGAGCAACCAAUUAUAUCGACCAUGAGCUAAAGAUAAAACACUUUUUACAAAAAUUGUGAGCCUUCAUAUUGGACGUUCUGCCUUCAUGAAUGAUCCGGGCCUCCUUGAACUCUUGACGCCGGAUGUUGAUCUCUGUAGAUGCCCUUGCUUCCUCCAUUGCCUCUGCUUAACAAGCAUUUUUACAUCACCUGAAAUAUUGAACCAUUGAAGAUUCAGAACACCUGCAAGCCAUAGCGUCACUACACAUGCCAUUGCUUCAAGCAUUUGAGGGUCAUCACAAUUAUCAAUGUUGGCGAGUCAAGGUAAAUUCUCUGAGUUCCUAUUAUGAGAACCGCGCGUCGGCUUUCUGUCAGGCGCCCUUAUGUGCCGACCCAUGUGAGGCGCGAGGCACCCCCUAUUUUUCUUUUUUUUUGAGAUUUCGUAAAAGGUUCUGACAUUAAAAAAAACACGGAUUCAAAAAAUGUUCAACAAAUUCAAAAAAUGACCGUGAUUUCAAAAUAAUGAUUAUUUUUAUUUGAUGAACAAAUUUUGAAGUUGAUGAACUUUUUUUGAAGUUGAUGAUCAAUUUUUUUAUUCAAGAACAUUUUUUUUGGAAAAAAUUGUUGAAUUGUUUUUAUUUAAAUGAACAAUUUUAAUUUGACGAAUAUUUUCAAAAAACGAUGAACAACUUUCAAAUUUGAUGAACAUUUUCUCAAUUUGAUGAACGUUGUUUAAACCAAUGAACAGAAUUAAAUUUGAUGAUUUUUUUAAUCCAAUGAACAGAAAAAGUUUUUGAAUUUGAAAAUAAAUUUGCAAAAAAUGAAAAAGUAAAGAAGUAAAAAAGAGAAAAGGAAAAGGAAAACAGAGAAGAAAAAGGAAAGAAAAAUAAGAAAACAUGAAGAAAACACCCCUGAAAAAUGGGCCGGCCCAUACAAACACCCGAGCACAGGUUGCUCGCGGGUGACCUGCGCACGGAACAUGAUUUCCUGUAAAUUUUGAAAUCAUUAAUUAAGGAGUACUCCUUUAAAAGUCUUUUUCAUCUUUUCAAGUUAUGACAAGUGGCAUAUUGCAUGUGUGUCACUUGUCGCAACCUGUGAAUUUUCCUUUUUUUAGAUCCAUUAUUUCAAAACAUUUUAUUUCUUAAACCGUGCAUCCAAAUCUCGAAUCAUUUUCACCGUUGGAUUUCUCAUGUCGAGAUUUUUAAAACAAGAUUCCAUGUUGAUAGAUUUUGACAAACUUUUUUUUGACAAAAAAACUGAACGAGAAAACCGUGCCUCUUCAAAAAAGACACAUUUUUUUUGUUUUUCGUGCCUUUCGCGAAAGCAAAACCUUGCCUUUCGAGGACAAAAAAACGUGUUUUUUCACUUUCGAGAGGCGCGGCUUGCGGAGCAAAUCCGUGCCUCUUGAGGAAGCAAACCAUGCCCUCGAGGAAGGAAAAAACAAAGAAAACACGUUUCCCCUCAUUUUCAAGAGGCACGGCGGUGCCCCUCGCAAAAGCAAAUUCAUGCAUCUCAAGGAAGGAAAAACAAGAAAACAUGUUUUUUCAAGAGGCAAGGAUGUGCCUCUGUAGGAAGGAAAAGAGCGCGUAUUUUUGUGCAUUUUUUUCACGCAAAAUCUAAGAAAGAUUGGUGGAAAAUCGAAACACCGAAAAACCCUAGAAAAAAUACCAUCCAAAAAGCGAAAACGGGUGAAAAUAAAAUAAAAUUUCAUAGAAACGUUCAAAACACAAUACAUGACGACGGCUGAGAACUUGUCAAAUAACGACGCCCGUGAAUAAUCGUUGGUAGGCUUCCGAUGAAGCGCUUCUCACAUAGUCCCUCCUCGUACUUUCCGUGGGCAUCUUGGCACAGAGGAUUGAUCGAACUGAUCGAAUACAUGGAAAUGAUAUAUAUACUGGCCUAAGAAUAUCUCCAACCGUGUCCCCUACAUGCCCCUCCCAGACCAUUUUGUGUUGCCGGCGGGGAAAAAUACCCCAAUCGCGCCCCUAGGAGCCCGUUUUUCGUCGGUUAGGACCGAAAUUGGCCCCGACGGCCCGAGACCGAACCCAGCAUGCAGGAGGGCGUCCGGGAGCGUCGGCGUUGUUAUUUGCAUGCAACAGGCCCACUCUGAGCCUCCCACUCGCUCUCUCGUGUCUCUCUUGCAUGCAACAGGUCCACCCACGUGCAUGUCUCUCGCCCACUUCAUCUCUUUUUCUCUCAUCUUUCUUGUCUUCUAGUGUUGGAUAGAGGUAUGGCUGAAAAACUCCCCCCAUGGCUGAAAAAGUGGCUCUUGGGGGGCCAACCGAGUGGAGAUACUCUAAAAGAAUAGCAAAGCCGAGCAAGCCAUGUGGCUCAAUUAAACACACAUGAUAUACUAUUGUUUAGUCUGAAACACGAUCCUAAAAAGAGAAGGCAUCGGCAUGCAGCCCACCCUUGCUGUCGAACAGCAACAUCAGCCCCACCCCCACGCGUCAUAUUUGGUUGGCCAUCCCGCAUGAUCUGUAUGUAAUACCAUUUCAUGUGAAUUUUGAUUAAUAGAGCUUAGAUUUGUCUAAAAAAACCACGCGCCACCAUGAGGACAACUCGAAAAGUUAAACAAUUAGGAGGACAACGUCGGAUUCCCCGAUCCUAACCUAGCAGUCAUAGGUGUUUCUCUUGAGUCAUGGUCUCACACCUUGUUUGUUUGAAAAGUCCUAGGACUUCUUUAGUCCAAACUAAAAAGUCCCUAGUCCUUACUUGUUUGAUUCCAUGGACUAAACAUGGACUAUAAGUUAUUAAAUGACAUGUUAAAAGACCAUGUUACCCCUACUAAUAGACUAGAGGUUAUUAAAUGACAUGGUAAAAGCAGAGACACUGUUGGAAAAAGUCUUAAAAAGUACCAAAAAAGACUCUUCCUUAGGGACUUCUUUCUUUAGUCCCAAAUGUCCACUUUUAGUCCCUAAAAGUCACUCAUGUUUUGUUUAGAAGGGACUAAAAGGGACUUUUUUUAGUCCCUACACCAAAAAAAUCCAUGUAAACUAACCCCCACUCAAUUCCGGUUAACAGUGGAGACGCCCGACAACCAGCACCCAACUAGUAAUUGCGGCACCUCGCGAUCAUCGACAGUGGAGGUGACCCGGCCGCCCGGCAACCAGCGCCCAAUCCUUCCAUAGGACCGAACCGACUUUUCGCUUCACGAAAGCUUCACUUAGUAGUUCCGUGCAAUGGCGGACCCAGGAUUGGCUAACGCCCCAUGCGAAAAACCAAGGGCAAAAAACAAUCCAAAAAACUCUAGUUUCAAGGCAUACAAAAGUCAAUCUAUGUUGCAUAACUAAUAAGAAAAUCAAACAUAAUGUUUAAUGACAGCAUUUGUUCCUUGAUGGGUCAACUAACAAAGCAAGACAAAUCAAAAGACAAUAUGUAGCAUAGAUAGAUGAUGCAAAUGAUUGAUAGUUUGAUACCAGAUCAAAGGAUUGGUUGAUCUGAGCCUCCCAUGACUACAUCUUCAAUAACAGAAGAAGCCAAUCCUUCAAUCAUCAAUUAUGAAAUGCAAAUCAGUGCAUAAUAGAGCAGGUAAAACUAGUUAAUAAUAGAUGAAAAUGUGAAAACUUACAUAUAGGACGAGGCAAAAAGCCUUUAUGUGUGCGACAACCUUGAAAUCACUCGAGUAUCUUUGAUUCUUCAAUACUAACAAAUACAUUUUCUUAUUUUACUCAUCUUGCUUUCCUGCAAAAUUUUAGAGAAACAAAUAUUUCUCAAUGUCAAAAUCGGUUGCUCUGCAACAUCGAACAAAUAAACAAACAAGGUGAAACAGUGACAUCUAUAAACAAAAACAACGCAUGUAUAAACAAAAUCAUCAUCAAAGGAAGGGCAUGGUUGAGGAAAGGGGCCGAGCCUCGCGCUGGCCGCUGGGCAGGGGGAGGACAAAGGGGAGACGGGGAGGGGUCGCCGCCUCGUGCCCUCGCCGACAUGGUGCCGACCGCCGGCGGGAAGGGCAGCUACUUUAGGCCCGCGCCGACCACUCGGGGAAGCUGACAAGGCGAGACCGUGGGAGGGGCGUAGGACAGAGGGCGGGGGCUACGCGCUGGACGGCGGGCGUCGGGCAGCCUGGCGGCGGUGUUUAGGUUUCGGGCGGUCGUAGUGGGCAUGGACGGCGUUGGGGAACGGGGAGGAAGGCAGACACUCGUCUGCCUGGUCGCGCGAGCGCGUCCCCGGUCGUGAGAGGAAGAGACAAUGCGGGCUGCGAGUGAGUUGGCCUGGGCUAUUGGGCUUCGAACUA